rnacentral:sRNA from 1 species
GAUCGUCUAAAGUAUUGCUCAUUUUUUUUAGCAACAGUCAAAAGUAUCUUUAUCAAUUUCAAAUUGGUAAUGAUACUUUUGACUGUUGCUAAAAUGUGAAC